rnacentral:rRNA from 1 species
CGCUGAAGGAGGAGCUUGCUUCUCUGGAUGAGUUGCGAACGGGUGAGUAACGCGUAGGUAACCUGCCUGGUAGCGGGGGAUAACUAUUGGAAACGAUAGCUAAUACCGCAUAACAGUAGAUGUUGCAUGACAUUUGCUUAAAAGGCGCAAUUGCAUCACUACCAGAUGGACCUGCGUUGUAUUAGCUAGUUGGUGGGGUAACGGCUCACCAAGGCGACGAUACAUAGCCGACCUGAGAGGGUGAUCGGCCACACUGGGACUGAGACUCGGCCCAGACUCCUACGGGAGGCAGCAGUAGGGAAUCUUCGGCAAUGGACGGAAGUCUGACCGAGCAACGCCGCGUGAGUGUAGAAGGUUUUCGGAUCGUAAAGCUCUGUUGUAAGAGAAGAACGAGUGUGAGAGUGGAAAGUUCACACUGUGACGGUAUCUUACCAGAAAGGGACGGCUAACUACGUGCCAGCAGCCGCGGUAAUACGUAGGUCCCGAGCGUUGUCCGGAUUUAUUGGGCGUAAAGCGAGCGCAGGCGGUUAGAUAAGUCUGGAGUUAAAGGCUGUGGCUUAACCAUAGUACGCUUUGGAAACUGUUUAACUUGAGUGCAAGAGGGGAGAGUGGAAUUCCAUGUGUAGCGGUGAAAUGCGUAGAUAUAUGGAGGAACACCGGUGGCGAAAGCGGCUCUCUGGCUUGUAACUGACGCUGAGGCUCGAAAGCGUGGGGAGCAAACAGGAUUAGAUACCCUGGUAGUCCACGCCGUAAACGAUGAGUGCUAGGUGUUAGACCCUUUCCGGGGUUUAGUGCCGCAGCUAACG